rnacentral:rRNA from 1 species
AACAAACGCUGGCGGCGUGUCUUAAGCAUGCAAGUUGAGCGGCAAGGAGGAGAGAUCCUCCCUAGAGCAGCGGACUGGUGAGUAACGCGUGGGUAAUCUAUCUUAGGCAUGGGGAUAGUCACUAGAAAUAGUGGGUAAUACCGAAUAAGUUCCAUAAGGGGAGGACUUAUGGAAGAAAGGUGCUACGGCACUGGCCUUAGGUGAGCUCGCGUCCCAUUAGCUAGUUGGUGAGGUAAAGGCCCACCAAGGCGAUGAUGGGUAGCCGGCCUGAGAGGGUGUACGGCCACACUGGGACUGAGAUACGGCCCAGACUCCUACGGGAGGCAGCAGCUAAGAAUAUUCCGCAAUGGACGGAAGUCUGACGGAGCGACGCCGCGUGGAUGAAGAAGGCCGAAAGGUUGUAAAGUUCUUUUGCUAGGGGAGAAUAAGUGUGGGAGGGAAUGCCUGCACGAUGACAAGGACUAGCGAAUAAGUCCCGGCCAACUACGUGCCAGCAGCCG